rnacentral:rRNA from 1 species
GCCUUACACAUGCAAGUCGAACGGUAGAGUAGCAAUACUCGAGAGUGGCGAACGGGUGAGUAAUAUAUCGGAACGUGCCCAGUCGUGGGGGAUAACGUAGAGAAAUUUACGCUAAUACCGCAUACGAUCUAAGGAUGAAAGCGGGGGACUCGCAAGAGCCUCGCGCGAUUGGAGCGGCUGAUAUCAGAUUAGGUUGUUGGUGAGGUAAAAGCUCACCAAGCCGACGAUCUGUAGCUGGUUUGAGAGAACGACCAGCCACACUGGGACUGAGGCACGGCCCAGACUCCUACGGGAGGCAGCAGUGGGGAAUUUUGGACAAUGGGCGAAAGCCUGAUCCAGCAAUGCCGCGUGCAGGAAGAAGGCCUUCGGGUUGUGAACUGCUUUUGUACGGAACGAAACGGUCUGCUUUAAUACAGCGGGCUAAUGACGGUACCGUAAGAAUAAGCACCGGCUAACUACGUGCCAGCAGCCGCGGUAAUACGUAGGGUGCGAGCGUUAAUCGGAAUUACUGGGCGUAAAGCGUGCGCAGGCGGUUAUAUAAGACAGUUGUGAAAUCCCCGGGCUCAACCUGGGAAUUGCAUCUGUGACUGUAUAGCUAGAGUACGGUAGAGGGGGAUGGAAUUCCGCGUGUAGCAGUGAAAUGCGUAGAUAUGCGGAGGAACACCGAUGGCGAAGGCAAUCCCCUGGACCUGUACUGACGCUCAUGCACGAAAGCGUGGGGAGCAAACAGGAUUAGAUACCCUGGUAGUCCACGCCCUAAACGAUGUCAACUGGUUGUUGGGUGCAUUAGUACUCAGUAACGAAGCUAACGCGUGAAGUUGACCGCCUGGGGAGUGCGGC